rfam:Neurospora crassa OR74A unplaced genomic scaffold supercont12.9, whole genome shotgun sequence.
UAUUUAAUUGAUUCUAUUAGUAGUUAUAUACUUAUUUUAAAGAUUAAGCUAUAUAUAUUUAAAUUUAAGUAAUUAAACUGCGAAAUUGCAAAUAGCUUAUUAAAUUAAUUAUAAUUUAUUUAAUAGUACCUUACUAUAUAGAUAACUAUAGUAAUUCUAGAGCUAAUAUAUGCUAAAAACCCCGAUUUCGGAAGGGGUGUAUUUAUUAAAUUAAAAACUAAUGCCCUUCGGGGCUAACUAAUAAUUUAUAAUAAUUUUUCGAAUUGUAUAGCUUUACGCUAGCGAUAGUUUAUUUAAAUUUCUGCCCUAUUAAUUUUCGACGGUUGGGUCUUAGCUAAUUAUAGUAAUAAUAAGUAACGGAGGGUUAAGGCUCGACCCUGGAGAAGGAGCUUAAGAAACGGCUACUAUAUUUAAGGAAGGUAAUAAGCGUAUAAAUUACCUAAUCCCGAUACGGGGAGGUAGUAAUAAUAAAUAUUAAUAUAGGGCUCUUUUGGGUUUUGUAAUUAGAAUAAGUAUAAUUUAAAUCCCUUAACGAGGAAUAAUUAGAAGGUAAGUCUAGUAUUAGUAAUUGCGGUAAUUCUAGUUCUAAUAGUAUAUAUUAAAAUUAUUAAGGUUAAAAAGUUUGUAAUUGAACCUUAGGCUCGGCCUGUCGGUCCGCCUUACUACGUAUACUAAUUAGGUUGGGCCUUUUUUUUUAGAGAACCGUAUAUCCUUUAUUAGGUGUAUCGGGGAAUUAGGACUUUUAUUAUAAAUAAAUUAGAUUAUUUAAAGAAGGCCUAUAUUUGAAUGUACUAAUAUAGAAUAAUAGAAUAGGACGUAUAAUUCUAUUUUAUUAAUUUCUAAGACCGCUAUAAUAAUUAAUAAGGAUAGUCGGGGGUAUUAAUAUUCAAUUAUUAGAAGUAAAAUUCUUGGAUUUAUUGAAGAUUAAUUAUUGCGAAAGUAUUUACUAAGGAUAUUUUUAUUAAUCAGGAACGAAAAUUAAGGGAUUAAAGAUAAUUAAAUACUAUUGUAAUUUUAACUAUAAAUUAUACUAAUUAGGGAUUAAAUAGUAUUAUUUUUUAACCCGUUUAGUACUUUAUAAUAAAUUAAAAUGUUUGGGCUCCUAAAGGAAUAUAAUUGUAAGGCUGAAAUUUAAAGAAAUUAACGGAAGGGCACUACUAAGGGUGGAGCCUGCGGCUUAAUUUAAUUUAAUACAAGGAAACUCACUAAGUCUAAAUAUAAUAAGGAUUAAUAGAUUGAGAGCUCUUUCUUAAUUUCGUAGGUAAUAGUAUAUAAUUAUUCUUAGUUAAUAGAGUAAUUUAUUUAUUUAAUUACAAUAACGAAUGAGACUUUAACCUACUAAAUAGCCCGUAUUACUUUAGUAAUACGCUAGCUUUUUAGAGGGACUAUCGGCUUAAACCAAUAGAAAUUUAAGGUAAUAAUAGGUUUAUAAUACCCUUAAAUAUUCUAAGCCGUAUAUACGCUAUACUAAUAUAAUUAGCGAAUACUCCCUUAGUUGGAAGGUCCGGGUAAUCUUAUUAAAUUGUAUUAUACUAGGAAUAGAGUAUUACAAUUAUUACUCUUCAAUAAGGAAUCCCUAGUAAAUAUAAAUUAUUAACUUAUAUUAAUUAUAUCCUUACCCUUUAUAUAUACUACCUAUUGCUAUUACCAAUUAAAUAGCUUAGUAAAGUUUCCGGAUUAGCCUAGGGAGGUCAGUAACAACUACCUAGGGCCGGAAAACUAUCUAAACUCAAUUAUUUAGAGGAAGUAAAAAUUAUAAUAAAGUCUCCGUUAGUAAAUUAGUAGAAGAAUUAUUA